rnacentral:rRNA from 1 species
UACGUAGGGGGCAAGCGUUGUCCGGAUUUAUUGGGCGUAAAGAGCGUGUAGGCGGUCAGGUAGGUCCGUUGUGAAAACUCGAGGCUCAACCUCGAGACGCCGAUGGAAACCAUCAGACUAGAGUCCGGAAGAGGAGAGUGGAAUUCCUGGUGUAGCGGUGAAAUGCGCAGAUAUCAGGAAGAACACCCGUGGCUAAGGCGGCUCUCUAGUACGGUACUGACGCUGAGACGCGAAAGCGUGGGGAGCGAACAGG